rnacentral:rRNA from 1 species
AUGAACUGCGGCCCGCCGGACCAGCUGCCGCCGGCGACGGCGGGAUUCCUCAACCUCAACUGGGACAGCUCCAUGGACGCGUCCGCGGGGGGCCGCCCCUCGCCGGCCUCUGGCUCCGCGGCGGCCACCGAGGGGCUCGCGCUCCACGGGAUCUCGCCGCGGCCGCAGCAGCACUACGGCGCCGGCACGCCGCUCGGCUCGCCCACCAAGCUCAACCUCUCCAUGAUGGGCCAGUACCGCCACCACAACCACCACUACCCGACGCCGCCGCCGCCGCAGGUGGGUGGCCUGCCCACCCUGGAGAACCUCAUGCCCAUGGCCUCCCUGGACCAGUUCCUCGCCGACCCGGGCUUCGCCGAGCGCGCCGCCAGGCUCUCCGGCUUCGACGCCCGCGGCGGCUACGGCGCCGGCCCGCCGCAAUUCGGCCUCCCGGACGACGGCCCCGUCGGCGCGCUCAAGGAGCUGGAGCUCGGGAGCGCCCGGGACGACUCGUCGGUGUCCGAUCCGGCGUCGGCCGGCGCGGGGAUGGCGCUCAAGGGCGCCUCCGACGGCAAUGCGAGGAAGCGGAAGGCCGCCGGCGGCAGCAAGGGGAAGGGCAAGGACGCCUCCGUGUCCACCACCUCCGCCAAGGAUCUCCUCGCCAAGGAGGACUCGGCGUCGAAGCGCUGCAAGUCCACGUCCAUGGAGGACGCCGAGGAGAAUUCCGGCAAGGGGAAGGCCGCGCAGAGCAGCAGCGAGAACGGCGGGAGGAAGCAGGGCAAGGACGGCGCCUCCAAGCUCCCGGAGCCGCCCAAGGACUUCAUCCACGUCCGGGCCCGGCGCGGCGAGGCCACGGACAGCCAUAGCCUGGCCGAGAGGGUGAGAAGAGAGAAGAUCAGCCAGCGGAUGAAGCUGCUGCAGGACCUCGUGCCCGGCUGCAACAAGGUGGUGGGCAAGGCCGUCAUGCUCGACGAGAUCAUAAACUACGUGCAGUCGCUGCAGCGGCAAGUCGAGUUUCUGUCCAUGAAGCUGGCCACGGUGAACCCGCAGCUGGACUUCAACAACCUGCCCAGCCUCCUCGCCAAAGAUAUGCAGCAGCAGUCAUGUGGGCAGCUGCAGCAGGGCUCGUCGCAUUUCCCGCUGGAUGCGUCGGGCGCGCCGCUCCCCUACAUGGGCCAGGGGAGCGGCGACCCUCUCGGCUGCGGCAUGUCCGACGGCGGCGGCAUGGGCGACGAUCAGGGCGCCAUGCACCCGGUGGACCAGGCCUUCUGCCGGCCCAUGGGUUCCUCGCAGCAGCAGCAGCACUUCCUCAGCGACGCCGCCUCUCAGGUUGGGGCUUUCUGGCAAGAUCUGCAGAGCGUGGUUCAGAUGGACAUGGGGCAGAGCCAGGAGAUCGCCACUUCUUCCAACAGCUACGACGCAGGUUCGUUGCAGACGGUCCACAUGAAAAUGGAGCUUUGA